UCUUGGAUUCACAGGGUGCUCAGCAAGUGGAGUGUCCCAGAAGCUGCCCAGUCGGGUCAGCUGGGCCCCGGUGAGCCCACCUGCCUCCUGAACAAGGGGUUACCAGCAGUGAGUGGGCUUGUGCCAUGAGCAGGCGACAUGAGCUCAGCUCCUCCUCUCGUGAGCUCAGCUCCUUCCGUCCGGAGCCCAACAGAGAGGAGUCCCAUUUUCAGUGGGAAAGAAGCAGUUCUGGGGAAUCUGAGAUGUCUGGGAGAAGAAAGGACAUAACAAGACCUGUGUCCCCGAGAUGGAUUCCCAUCUGCCUGGAAAAGGACCGGCUCUCCAGGCCUGUGCUCCCAGGGCACUGGCAGCCUCAUUCCAGAAAGGAAAGAAGUUGAAGCAACCUUAGCCUGGAUGCACUUUUCUGCAAAUUAGAUUCCACUUAGCUCCUCGACUUCCAUGACAAGAUGAGACUCCACUCCCCAGGGAAGACAUCUUGGUAGAAGGAUGGGACCAUGUGGUAUGGAAGGCCCCUGGGGGCAGCAGCUUGGCAGAACUGUGGAACAUUUGUGUGUUUCCGUGACCUGCCCCAUCUACUCUUCCCUGGCCGCAGGAAUUUCUUCCAUUUGAGAGGAUGGAGACUCUCAGAUGAGACCCAGUGUCUCUGGUCCUUCUUCCUGCUGUGUUCAGCCUUGUGGUCUCUGGCUGUGGCCCCCAUGGCUAUUUGAGGGAAGGGCGUGGAUUUUUCCAUGAUACCAGCCUUGGAAAGCAGGUGGCACCAGGGUGGGGAACUUGGGCAGUUGCAGUUUGCUGAAGAGGCCUGGGCUCACUGUGCCCCCCAGCAACAUCAUGCUGAGCCCUCUUUUCCAGUACCUGACCCACCUAGCUCACAGGUGCCCCUGAGUGUGGUGGAGCAGGGCAUUUGAUUGAAUAUUGCCAAAACGUCAAGAGUUAAGAAACAGUGAGGAUGAGGAGAAACCAGACCCCUCAUGUGCUAUUG